AGCUACAGGCUUAACACAUGCAAGUCGAGGGGCAUCAGGAAGAAAGCUUGCUUUCUUUGCUGGCGACCGGCGCACGGGUGAGUAACACGUAUCCAACCUGCCCUUUACUCGGGGAUAGCCUUUCGAAAGAAAGAUUAAUACCCGAUGGCAUAAUGAUUCCGCAUGGUUUCAUUAUUAAAGGAUUCCGGUAAAGGAUGGGGAUGCGUUCCAUUAGGUUGUUGGUGAGGUAACGGCUCACCAAGCCUUCGAUGGAUAGGGGUUCUGAGAGGAAGGUCCCCCACAUUGGAACUGAGACACGGUCCAAACUCCUACGGGAGGCAGCAGUGAGGAAUAUUGGUCAAUGGGCGCUAGCCUGAACCAGCCAAGUAGCGUGGAGGAUGAAGGCUCUAUGGGUCGUAAACUUCUUUUAUAUAAGAAUAAAGUGCAGUAUGUAUACUGUUUUGUAUGUAUUAUAUGAAUAAGGAUCGGCUAACUCCGUGCCAGCAGCCGCGGUAAUACGGAGGAUCCGAGCGUUAUCCGGAUUUAUUGGGUUUAAAGGGAGCGUAGGUGGACUGGUAAGUCAGUUGUGAAAGUUUGCGGCUCAACCGUAAAAUUGCAGUUGAUACUGUCAGUCUUGAGUACAGUAGAGGUGGGCGGAAUUCGUGGUGUAGCGGUGAAAUGCUUAGAUAUCACGAAGAACUCCGAUUGCGAAGGCAGCUCACUGGACUGCAACUGACACUGAUGCUCGAAAGUGUGGGUAUCAAACAGGAUUAGAUACCCUGGUAGUCCACACAGUAAACGAUGAAUACUCGCUGUUUGCGAUAUACAGUAAGCGGCCAAGCGAAAGCAUUAAGUAUUCCACCUGGGGAGUACGCCGGCAACGGUGAAACUCAAAGGAAUUGACGGGGGCCCGCACAAGCGGAGGAACAUGUGGUUUAAUUCGAUGAUACGCGAGGAACCUUACCCGGGCUUAAAUUGCAGUGGAAUGAUGUGGAAACAUGUCAGUGAGCAAUCACCGCUGUGAAGGUGCUGCAUGGUUGUCGUCAGCUCGUGCCGUGAGGUGUCGGCUUAAGUGCCAUAACGAGCGCAACCCUUAUCUUUAGUUACUAACAGGUUAUGCUGAGGACUCUAGAGAGACUGCCGUCGUAAGAUGUGAGGAAGGUGGGGAUGACGUCAAAUCAGCACGGCCCUUACGUCCGGGGCUACACACGUGUUACAAUGGGGGGUACAGAAGGCAGCUAGCGGGUGACCGCAUGCUAAUCCCAAAAGCCUCUCUCAGUUCGGAUCGAAGUCUGCAACCCGACUUCGUGAAGCUGGAUUCGCUAGUAAUCGCGCAUCAGCCACGGCGCGGUGAAUACGUUCCCGGGCCUUGUACACACCGCCCGUCAAGCCAUGGGAGCCGGGGGUACCUGAAGUACGUAACCGCAAGGAUCGUCCUAGGGUAAAACUGGUGACUGGGGCUAAGA
rnacentral:rRNA from 1 species